ACUCAAAUGAAUUGACGGGGGCCCGCACAAGCGGUGGAGCAUGUGGUUUAAUUCGACGCAACGCGAAGAACCUUACCUACUCUUGACAUCCUGCGAAUCUGACUGAGAGGUUGGAGUGCCGAAAGGAACGCAGAGACAGGUGCUGCAUGGCUGUCGUCAGCUCGUGUUGUGAGAUGUUGGGUUAAGUCCCGUAACGAGCGCAACCCUUGUCCUUAGUUACCAGCGAGUAAAGUCGGGGACUCUAAGGAGACUGCCAGUGAUGAACUGGAGGAAGGCGGGGACGACGUCAAGUCAUCAUGGCCUUUAUGAGUAGGGCUACACACGUGCUACAAUGGGGCAUACAGAGGGUCGCCAACCCGCGAGGGGGAGCCAAUCCCAGAAAGUGUCUCGUAGUCCGGAUUGAAGUCUGCAACUCGACUUCAUGAAGUUGGAAUCGCUAGUAAUCGCGAAUCAGCAACGUCGCGGUGAAUACGUUCCCGGGCCUUGUACACACCGCCCGU
rnacentral:rRNA from 1 species